rnacentral:rRNA from 1 species
GACAGAGGCCCCAAGCGUUAGGCGGAAUCACUGGGCUUAAAGCGUGUGUAGGCGGAUCGUUAAGUGUCUUGUGAAAUCCCACGGCUCACCCGUGGAACUGCUGGGCAUACUGGCGAUCUUGGGCCAACUAGGGGCAGCCGGAACAAGCGGUGGAGCGGUGAAAUGCGUAGAUAUCAUUUGGAACGCCAAUGGUGAAAACAGGUAGCUGGGAGUGAUGCUGACGCUGAGACACGAAAGCCAGGGGAGCAAACGGG